rnacentral:rRNA from 1 species
CACGAAUAGCUCUUGGAAACGGGUGGUAAUGCUGGAUGCUCCAACUUGACGCAUGUCUUGUUGGGAAAGUGUUUAGUGGCAUGGGAUGGGGUCGCGUCCUAUCAGCUUGUAGGCGGGGUAAUGGCCCACCUAGGCUUCGACGGGUAGCCGGCCUGAGAGGGCGGACGGCCACAUUGGGACUGAGAUACGGCCCAGACUCCUACGGGAUGCAGCAGUC